rnacentral:rRNA from 1 species
UACUACGGGAGGCAGCAGUAGGGAAUCUUCCGCAAUGGACGAAAGUCUGACGGAGCAACGCCGCGUGAGCGAUGAAGGCCUUCGGGUCGUAAAGCUCUGUUGUCAGGGAAGAACAAGUACCGGAGUAACUGCCGGUACCUUGACGGUACCUGACCAGAAAGCCACGGCUAACUACGUGCCAGCAGCCGCGGUAAUACGUAGGUGGCAAGCGUUGUCCGGAAUUAUUGGGCGUAAAGCGCGCGCAGGCGGUUCCUUAAGUCUGAUGUGAAAGCCCCCGGCUCAACCGGGGAGGGUCAUUGGAAACUGGGGAACUUGAGUGCAGAAGAGGAGAGCGGAAUUCCACGUGUAGCGGUGAAAUGCGUAGAGAUGUGGAGGAACACCAGUGGCGAAGGCGGCUCUCUGGUCUGUAACUGACGCUGAGGCGCGAAAGCGUGGGGAGCGAACAGGAUUAGAUACCCUGGUAGUCCACGCCGUAAACGAUGAGUGCUAAGUGUUAGAGGGUUUCCGCCCUUUAGUGCUGCAGCAAACGCAUUAACCACU